GAGCGUUGCAUGGCUAAAAAACGUUUUAUGCUUUAAUAAAGGUUGAAAACUUUCGGGCUUUGACCCCCGAAGNGGGUAAGGCAAAGCUGAAGACGAAAGGGAGCCCUAAUUAUACAUAUAAUUAUAAUUAUUAGGGCCAAACGUAAUAUUAUUACAUAAUACUACAGUAUAGUACAUACUUAUGUACAGGUCUUAGCAGAAAAAUGCUUUAAGUCAUCAUGGCCUUUAUAUGGUGGACUACAAGUGCGCUACUUUUUCUUUUUUUUAUGAAUAAAUAUUCAUAAUUUUAAAUCGGAUUGCUCUUUGCAAUUAUGAGCAUAAAGUAGGAAUAGCGAGUAAUAAUAAAUCAUUUACGUUAUUAUGAAGUUUGCAGUAAGAUGUUCGAUUCCCCUAUACCCCCCUUCGGGGGGUAGGGGGAAUCGAACAAAUAUUUAAUUCUUAUUGUGUUAAAGUCUAUAGAUGCACACAUUGCCCGUCAUCGCCUGGGAUUCAUCCUAGCUUAGAAGUUUUAUAUUAUGUAUAAGUAUAACUCCAAAGGUUAGAGGAGACUGGGCGCAAGUCGUAACAGGUUGGGGUAGAGGAAUCUGCUCCAGAGAUGAUAUAUAU
rnacentral:rRNA from 1 species